rnacentral:rRNA from 1 species
UAGGGAAUCUUCCGCAAUGGGCGAAAGCCUGACGGAGCAACGCCGCGUGAGUGAUGAAGGUCUUCGGAUCGUAAAACUCUGUUAUUAGGGAAGAACAAAUGUGUAAGUAACUAUGCACGUCUUGACGGUACCUAAUCAGAAAGCCACGGCUAACUACGUGCCAGCAGCCGCGGUAAUACGUAGGUGGCAAGCGUUAUCCGGAAUUAUUGGGCGUAAAGCGCGCGUAGGCGGUUUUUUAAGUCUGAUGUGAAAGCCCACGGCUCAACCGUGGAGGGUAAUUGGAAACUGGAAAACUUGAGUGCAGAAGAGGAAAGUGGAAUUCCAUGUGUAGCGGUGAAAUGCGCAGAGAUAUGGAGGAACACCAGUGGAGAAGGCGACUUUCUGGUCUGUAACUGACGCUGAUGUGCGAAAGCGUGGGGAUCAAACAGG